AAACAGCGGCCGGGCUCCUUCCAAGUCAGGUUGUCGAUGUUUUUGACGUACCCGUGCGGUGUUUUUUUCGCCAUACCAUACCAAGCAUCACUUUUUUUUGGGAAGGGGAAAGCAGCGCUCGUUCGAAAACAGACCCGCGCGCCAGCAAAUCUCAUCGUUGGCGGGCUGGUCGUGCUCAGACGCAUUUCAGCAGCGAACCGGUACGGAUUUACCAUCCCGAUACGCAAAAGCGCCAACAAGCAAGUCAACUAACGGAACCAGCAGUGUGGUGUGAUCGGGGAGAGUGUGUGCGCGCGCGAGUACGUUUAAGAUAAAUCUCACUCCAAAAACAGGAGCAACCAAGUGGCGAGAAAAAGCACCACCAAAAAAAAAAAAUCGUUAAAGCCUUCAGAAACGGGAAAAAGUUUAAACCGUGCGAGAGGAGAAAACAUCUUACGAUUCGUAUCAAGUCUGGAGCUUCCCCCUAGAACAGUGUAUAAAGUUUGCAAAACGAGCUACAUCUGAUGAGUGACUGAGUCGAGAACCAAAAUUCGCGAAACUGUUACUUUUCUUCGGCAUUGGGCGGUUCUUCAGAAACAGUGGAGAUAAAAAAAAAUUUCUAAGAGUGUUAAUUUUGUUUUAAUUGAGUGAUUAACUCUGCGGGUGUGUAGUGGUGCUCCACAAGUUAUAUUUGCUACGCAUCAAACGUGAAAAGUGAUAGAAAAAGUGUUCUUGAAGAAGUUGUGCAGUGUUUGAUAGUAAGAAAAGUUUUACCGUUUUGUGAUUGAAUACGUGACCUCCUAACCAAGCAAAAUUGAUGUCGCUAAAGUGUGCUUGUUUGUAGCAAACAGCGAGGAAAACAUCAACAAUUACAUUCACCAGUAAACAAAAUUGUUUCACUUUCGCUUCGAACUGCCGUUCUCCCUAUCGGUACAUCUAAACCGAGCAAGCAACGCACAAGAACUGGUGCGAAGAGAAAUAUUGAAAAGCAGCCGGCUCAGUCACCAAAGCAAACGCCACGUGGGAAUUUAACCUACAGGAAGAACGGGUGUGACAACAACGACCGUUGCUUGGACGUACCGCGAUUUUCGCGUCCCCGCCAAACCCACACGCCAGUUCCCCGUUUGCAACUGCACCGUACCCGUGAGAGACAGCUGAUGAUGGUUCUUUGUUGUUUUGGAUUGAUGCUUUGAACAACAAGAGUCUUUCAGUGUGCCGAACGUACGUCAAAAUAUGGCCGACGUCGAAGUAAAUUGUGUUUACGCUUCGGUGCUGAUAGGUCAAAUUGUUUUCCAACGAACGUCUUUCCAAGCGCAUGAGGAACCGUAAAUGUUAAGCAACACGCAAGGCUACUAUCCGGUGAGCUGCCGUCAGAGAAUCGGAGAAGGAAAAGUCUUCAAAGUCAAUUUUUGGAGUCAAACAUAAGACACAAAUUCUCUGACCAAAAUCGAAAAACGAUAUUUGAUUAUAAAUUUAAAGUGAACUAUCUUUAACCGAAAGGGUAUCGCCACAUCGACCCCAGCACAUUAUCAAAACAAAAAGCCCUGACACGUGACAAAUGGCAUGAACGUCUGCAAAAGUGAGCGUCGCGGCAAAAAAGGUGAAAAACGACUGCGCGUGACUUUCCUUCCCGCGGACAUGAUUCACCGUUUUGGGGAAGAAAAGAAGAAAAAGGUCGCCGCCUCUAGACGCGCAUUCAGUUAACUCGGCGAAGAAUCCUUAACUUUCAUUUUCUCUUCCAUAGCCAUUUGCAAUGAAUGCAAUCCUUCUCUGUCAUCGGUGCUUUGGUUGGGGCUUUGCGCCAUGACACGGUGCGAACAGUACUAGACAUUUAAAGCGUUGUUGACUGCGGCAAUUGUAGGAAAACACGGGGGUCUUUUUGUAAGUAGCUUCUUGGUGCCCGAGACACAACAAUCGACGGUUGCGUUCCGGUAGAUGAGGGUUAAAAGAUAGGCAACCCGCUCAUAUUGAUUGUGGGUUGUGCAUUGUGGAUGCACACAAAAGGAAGAAGUGAAGAAUUGUGUUGCUGCAGCGAGACAUAGCUGGUGUCCAAUGGUUGUGAUUUUAAUUAAAAUUUUCUACAACAUUGUAUCUGUGAUGAUGGGGCGGUCCGGUGGCCGAGACUUCUCGAGGUUGUAGUGCCAAGGAAGAAGAAGAAGUAUCUGUGAUUAUAAGGAGAGAAUCAACAUUUUAGGCAACUGCAACUGACCAUGUUCAUCAUGGCAUCAGUUGCUUUCAGCAUUCUAUCGACUUCAGAGUAGUAUUCUCAGAUGAUACCACAG